rnacentral:sRNA from 1 species
GGUCAGGAGCGCCAGGAGGCGAAGACAGAGGAUUGUCAGGAAGACAAACGUCCGGAGACGUAAUUAAACGGAAAUGGAAUCAACACGGAUUGUUCCGGCUAAAGGAAAAACAGGGUGUGUUGGCGGCCUGCAAGGAUUGUAAGACCCGUUAAGGGUUAUGAGUCAGGAAAAAAGGCGACAGAGUAAUCUGUCGCCUUUUUUCUUUGCUUGCUUUCUGUUAGAUUCCGCCGCAAAUCUAUACUGAA